rnacentral:rRNA from 1 species
AGUGAACGCUGGCGGUAGGCCUAACACAUGCCAGUCGAACGGCAGCACAGUAAGAGCUUGCUCUUACGGGUGGCGAGUGGCGGACGGGUGAGGAAUACAUCGGAAUCUACUUUUUCGUGGGGGAUAACGUAGGGAAACUUACGCUAAUACCGCAUACGACCUACGGGUGAAAGCAGGGGAUCUUCGGACCUUGCGCGAUUGAAUGAGCCGAUGUCGGAUUAGCUAGUUGGCGGGGUAAAGGCCCACCAAGGCGACGAUCCGUAGCUGGUCUGAGAGGAUGAUCAGCCACACUGGAACUGAGACACGGUCCAGACUCCUACGGGAGGCAGCUGUGGGGAAUAUUGGACAAUGGGCGCAAGCCUGAUCCAGCCAUACCGCGUGGGUGAAGAAGGCCUUCGGGUUGUAAAGCCCUUUUGUUGGGAAAGAAAAGCAGCAGGUUAAUACCCCGCUGUUCUGACGGUACCCAAAGAAUAAGCACCGGCUAACUUCGUG